AUUGAACGCUGGCGGCAGGCUUAACACAUGCAAGUCGAGCGGAGAUGAGGUGCUUGCACCUUAUCUUAGCGGCGGACGGGUGAGUAAUGCUUAGGAAUCUGCCUAUUAGUGGGGGACAACAUUCCGAAAGGAAUGCUAAUACCGCAUACGUCCUACGGGAGAAAGCAGGGGAUAUUCGGACCUUGCGCUAUUAGAUGCGCCUAAGUCGGAUUCGCUAGUUGGUGGGGUAAAGGACUACCAAGGCGACGAUCUGUAGCGGGUCUGAGAGGAUGGUCCGCCACACUGGGACUGAGACACGGCCCAGACUCCUACGGGAGGCAGCAGUGGGGAAUAUUGGACAAUGGGGGAAACCCUGAUCCAGCCAUGCCGCGUGUGUGAAGAAGGCCUUAUGGUUGUAAAGCACUUUAAGCGAGGAGGAGGCUACUGAGACUAAUACUCUUGGAUAGUGGACGUUACUCGCAGAAUAAGCACCGGCUAACUCUGUGCCAGCCGCCGCGGUAA
rnacentral:rRNA from 1 species